GAUUAACGCUGGCGGCGUGCAUAACACAUGCAAGUCGAACGAUGAAGAUUAUUAGACUUCUUCGGAAUGAAAAUAAUUGGAUUAGUGGCGGACGGGUGAGUAACGCGUGAGUAACCUGCCUUACACAAGGGGAUAGCCGUUGGAAACGACGAAUAAUACCCUAUGAAACUAUCACUUCGCAUGAAGCGAUAGUCAAAGUGUUAGCGGUGUAAGAUGGACUUGCGUCUGAUUAGCUAGUUGGUGAGAAAAAAGCCCACCAAGGCAACGAUCAGUAGCCGGCUUGAGAGGGUGUACGGCCACAUUGGGACUGAGGCACGGCCCAGACUCCUACGGGAGGCAGCAGGGGGGAAUUUUGCACAAUGGGGGAAACCCUGAUGCAGCGACGCCGCGUGAUUUAGAAGGCCUUCGGGUUGUAAAAAUCUUUUGUAUAGGAAGAAAAUGACAGUACUAUACGAAUAAGGUCCGGCUAAUUACGUG
rnacentral:rRNA from 1 species